rnacentral:rRNA from 1 species
UACGUAGGGUGCGAGCGUUGUCCGGAAUUAUUGGGCGUAAAGAGCUCGUAGGCGGUUUGUCACGUCUGCUGUGAAAUCGCUCGGCUCAACCGGGCGCGGGUAUGCCAGACUGGAGUGCUAGAGGGUGCGAGAGGGACGUGGAAUUCCGGGUGUAGUGGUGAAAUGCGUAGAGAUCCGGAGGAACCCCUGAGGCGAAGGCGGCGUCCUGGCGCACUUCUGACGUUCAGACACGACAGCAUGGGGAGCGAACGGG